UUAGAAAGUCUGAUGGAGAAGAACUGAGCUGAUCAUGUGUAGAUUUGGGUGAUGGGGUCCAGGGCGAGGAGGGGUGAUGACCAGCGUCCCCAGCACAGGGGGGACCUGGGAUAUCUGGGUGCAAUAAAGGAGCUCAGAUCCCAUCCUGUUCCUCACCAGCCCAGUGGUGCCCAGCGCUGCCCUGCUCACCAGGCUUCAGCUGCCAGUCACAGAGGAGAGUGAGCUCCACAGGGGCAGGCCAGGGACGCCCCUUUGUCUGCGAGCAGAGACACCCAGCUGCGUGCGGGGAAGGCGAGGACAAGCUGGACUUCAGGCACAGGUGGAUCCAGGGCACGAGUGCAGACUCAGCAAAAAGCAAAACCAAGCCGCCCCAGGACACCCGACUCCAGCUGAAUUUCAGAUGAAGAAAGUAGGCCUGAGGCAUGUGGUCCUGGGGGACAGAGGCCGCGAGGCUGAGCCCUCGAAGAUGGAAAGUCGAUGCCGGUGAUCACAGAGGACGCAGGAGAGGACUGAAUGGCUGCUGCUCCGAGAGCUGUUGUUAAAUUUAAACUUGGCAGAAAAUUAGCCACCAUGGAAAUUCAUAUAGCCAAUGAUAAUAAUUAUUAUUAUAAUUUUU
rnacentral:lncRNA from 1 species